AUUAGAGUAAACAUCGUCGAAGCGAGAUACUCGAAAGCUUUCUCUAAUAUAAAUCGAAUGGGGAAAAGGAAAGAAAGUAUUUCGUACGAGUUUAGGAUCGUUACAAUAUAAUGAAAAUAAGGGACAUUCCUUGGGGUCAAGGUUGAAUGCGCGCGUGAGCACUUCAGUGGAGCCAAUUAAGCAGUCGUAAACCUGAUUAGCGGAGGAAGCAGUUUGGACCGAAGGAGAUAGCGUUGUGAGCUAUCUCUGUGCACUCUGGGUGUGUUUGUGUGUGUGCUUGCGCGAGCGCUAACUUAUAACGGCAUAGAAGGAUAUACAGAGGCAUUCUGCUGUGGUGCACGUGUUUUCAAGCGCUUCUUUUUCAAGAGCUGCGACAGAAUCCUCUCUCUUUUUCCUUUCGUCGUUUUACUCAUUUCCGUGAAGAGGAGAAGGAGAAGAAGAAGAAGAAGAAGAAGAAAAAGGAGGAGGAGGAGGAGGAGGAGGAGGAGGGAGAACAUGUUUCUCGGAUGACCCGUAACGCGAGAUUCCGGGUUACGAAAACACGCGGGGCGAUAUAUGGGCCAGGAAAACAACGUGUAAAAACGCCAUGAUCUCGUCUGGCGCCUAUACGGACUUUUUCGGUUGAAGGAAAGAAAUAUGGCGGUAGAACAAGCUGACGGACGAUUAAUUCCUACCAAUGAGACGUUCACGUUAAUGUAAAUGACUUUUAUUUACCACUUUCUCUUACCAAGUUCUUUUUUUC